GAGUUUGAUCUUGGCUCAGAACGAACGCUGGCGGCAUGCCUAACACAUGCAAGUCGAACGAGACCUUCGGGUCUAGUGGCGCACGGGUGCGUAACGCGUGGGAAUCUGCCCUGGGGUGCGGAAUAACUCGGAGAAAUCCGUGCUAAUACCGCAUAAUGUCUUCGGACCAAAGAUUUAUUGCCCUGGGAUGAGCCCGCGUAGGAUUAGCUAGUUGGUGGGGUAAAGGCCUACCAAGGCGACGAUCCUUAGCUGGUCUGAGAGGAUGAUCAGCCACACUGGGACUGAGACACGGCCCAGACUCCUACGGGAGGCAGCAGUGGGGAAUAUUGGACAAUGGGCGAAAGCCUGAUCCAGCAAUGCCGCGUGAGUGAUGAAGGCCUUAGGGUUGUAAAGCUCUUUUACCCGGGAUGAUAAUGACAGUACCGGGAGAAUAAGCCCCGGCUAAACUCCGUGCCAGCAGCCGCCGCCGUAAG
rnacentral:rRNA from 1 species